UCCCUAGUAGCUCAGAUGGUAAAGUAUCUGCCUGCAAUGCAGGAAACCUGGGUUCAAUCCCUGGUAGGGAA
rnacentral:tRNA from 1 species